AAAUGUCACCGGAUAAACUCUAACUUUGAUUGAUGUGUGAGAUCCAGCAGUCAAUUCUUGGAUUAUUCAGUGUGAAUUGUUGUUUUAAACUUUUUUAUCCUCUGCGUUGAGAGCUUUCCCGCUUUUUUCAAUGGCAGCAAAUUGGGACUCCGACGAGUGGGAAGUCGUCAACGACGAUGGCUUCGUCUACAAGCGCAAGAAACGUCGCUUAGACCGCACUUCCUUCGCUCGUGCUGCAGAUCCCGAACCAGAUCUUACCCUUGCAAUCAAGGAGAAACGAAAAAGAAAACGCGCUGCUUUGCUCAAAAUAAAGGAAAAAUACCAGACAGAAAUUAUUCUCUGGGAAAAUUUGUCGAACACCUUAAAGACAAUGGAAGAAAGUAUGUCUGAACAAGUUGAGGAGAAACAAACGGAGGAGAGAGAGGGAGAGAAGCUUCAAAGAUCGGCUAAUAAAGGGUCUCAAUCCGUUGUUUCCGUCGCAAAUUCUUCUGGCUCUUUGGUUGAUGAGCUUCUUUUGCAGGUGGAAGCACAGGAGGCAAUUAUACGCAGCUUUGAGCAGCUUUGUGAUGUUGCAGAUUCCUUGUGUAAUGCCCAAGAGGAAAAGAAUAAUCAACGUUUCUUUAAUUUGCCAAUUUGGCAUUCACCUCGUGAACUUAUGGCAUCCCUGUGUGAUGAUUGAGAAUUGCUUGGCUUUUGGAGUGUUGGUGGUGAUUGUUGUUUAUGGGCUUAUCAAGUGUUGAGUUACUAGAAUGGUUGGCUUUCGGUAGGCAUCAGGUAAUUAACAUGAUAUGAGGAUUUGAAGUAACAUGGUUGAGGUGAAUCCACCAUUUAGGAUGGAAAAUGUGGCAAGAUCAUGGCUGCUAAAUAAUAAUAAUAACAAAAUGUGAAGCGCUUAGCAUUGUAUCACGAAUUGAGGAAUUUAUGAUGCACUUGAGGAGACUGAUGUGCACACUGUUCUGUAAUGUCCUCUUGCAAGUAAAAAGUGGGUUAGAUGUGGCGCUGAUAAGAAGGGGUUGGAUGGGGCUUUUUCUUCUAGGAAGGAUCGGUUUGCAAUUUUGAUUAAGAAGCAAGGAUUUCAAGGAGGUGCAAAGAAGUUUAAGGCUGUGGCUGGGGCUUGUUGGAAUGGAUGUAAUAUGCUGAUAUUUAAAGGGAAUUUGGUGCAGACCAGCAAAGAUGUGCAAUGACUGGAGACUACUUUCAUUUUGGCUGUUCAAAUUAGAUACGGUUGCUGCAGACAUGUGUGACUUGGGCUGUUUUUUUUGUUUCUUUUUGGGGGUGGGUGGUGGGUGGAGUGUUUGAGACAGCAAUUGCAACACUUUGGCACUUGCAGUUAGUCAAUGUCAGCGUAACUGCAACUCUUAUCAGAACUAAUAGUCUUGUUGGACUCCUGAACUAAUUUCUCUUACAAAGUUCUUUUGAAGGUGACAGUAACAGAGCCUAAGGAGCAAUCUAUCCAAGUGAAUUAUGGAAUUUGGCUGGAUAACAUUUCGGGGAAGAUUACUAACAUAGUUGUGCAGUAUAUUUGUAUGUGUUCUGAUUUUGCAUAUUUAUCAUUUACUGCCUCGGUGUUUGCAGAAAAUUAAAACGAGCUAGGGUGAGGUAAUCUGGCUGUGUUGCUAGCUAAAAAUCUGCUGCAAAUAUGACAUUCAGCGCUGAAGAUACGUGCAGACAAGAAAGAAAUUAAGAACUGACUUUUGGAUUCGUGAAAUUGUUGCCGUUUAUAACUCCUCUGAGAAGCCAUUGUCAUGAUAAUGUUAUCCACCAUGUUACACUAGAUGGAAUACUACAAGAGGGGGGUGAAUUGUAGUUGUAGCUUAUAUGGUAAUUAAUCGAUACAUUUUUUGCAUUGAGUUAGAAAGAUUGAAGGAAUGAGAAUGCAAGAGAGAUUUUCACAUAGAAAAUUCUUGUCUCUAUACAAGAAUAAAAACAA